rnacentral:rRNA from 1 species
GGGCGUCUCCUUUCUCAUUGCGAGUGGAGGCGCACCCAGAGCGUACACGCUGAUACCCGAAAGAUGGUGAACUAUGCCUGGCCAGGACGAAGCCAGGGGAAACCCUGGUGGAGGUCCGCAGCGAUUCUGACGUGCAAAUCGAUCGUCGGAGCUGGGUAUAGGGGCGAAAGACCAAUCGAACCAUCUAGUAGCUGGUUCCCUCCGAAGUUUCCCUCAGGAUAGCUUGCGCUCAUGUGAACGAGUCUCAUCCGGUAGAGCGAAUGAUUAGAGGCCUUGGGGUCGAAACGACCUCAACCUAUUCUCAAACUCCAAAUAGAUGAGAACUCCGGCUUUCUUGAACUUUGUUUUUGAAGCCGGGGGCUCGGAUCAGAGUGCCAAGUGGGCCAAUUUU